UCCAGAAAGACACUGUGUGCAGACCCUGCCCAGAGGGAACCUACAGCGAUGUGGAUGACUACUUUUCCAGCUGCAAAAAUCAUACAAGUUGUGAUGAUUUGGGUCGACAUCUGAAAGUUUCUGGGACCAGCAAAUCAGAUGUUGUGUGUGGAAAUUUUAAAUCAUGUACUACAUCUUGUUCUUGGUUGUUACCUGCUAGUUUGUGGGCAGGGAUCGUGAUUACUGGCCUGAUUGUAUUUCUAAUCCUGUUUACAAUUUAUUGGAGAAACAAACGUCAGUCAAAAA